CUUGUAUUUAAAUCAGUAGUCAAUAUGGUUUGAACUGAUCCGAAUAAGAUUUCAAACUCCUCACUAAGUUCCAUAAUUGUCAAACAAUGGUUGCCUCGAAUUACUGUUCGUAUUUUUUGAACCAUUACGGCUUGUUGACGGGCGUCCUUCACGUUUGUCACUUUCAAAUCGUUUGGACCAUUCAAAAACGCAAGUAAAGGACAUCGUUUCAUCUCUAUAGGCUAACAAUAACAUUUGGUAAGUUUCAGUAGCUGUUUAUCCCAGUUUAUGACAAAAUUUAAUACACUGUCAAUAUUUUCGCUCAUAAUGAAAUUCGACAGGAUAUAUGAACACUUUACUUAAUCGCACCUAGAAGUUAACUGAGACAAAUUUAGUUUAUGCCUAAUAUAUUUUCCCAACCUACAAAGAUUAAUAUAGCACAUGCAAGUUCAUAUUCAAACCGGUUUACGACUUAUCUUGUCAGUCUCGAUAAUUUUUGAUUGGACCUCGUAUUCGGAUACGUUAUGAAAACUCAAUUACAAAUUUUCGUUAAUGUGGUAAUGUUGACAGAAUUGAUUAAUACUGAAAGAAAUUUAUUUCUUGUUUGUCCUAACCCUUGAUAUGUAUCUUUAUACCAAAAAUUGUGACCUGUA